AACGAACGCUGGCGGCAGGCCUAACACAUGCAAGUCGAGCGAGGACUUCGGUCCUAGCGGCGGACGGGUGAGUAACGCGUGGGAACGUGCCCUUUGCUUCGGGAUAGCCCUGGGAAACUGGGAGUAAUACCGGAUGAGCCCUUUGGGGGAAAGAUUUAUCGGCGAAGGAUCGGCCCGCGUUGGAUUAGGUAGUUGGUGGGGUAAUGGCCUACCAAGCCGACGAUCCAUAGCUGGUUUGAGAGGAUGAUCAGCCACACUGGGACUGAGACACGGCCCAGACUCCUACGGGAGGCAGCAGUGGGGAAUCUUAGACAAUGGGGGAAACCCUGAUCUAGCCAUGCCGCGUGAGCGAUGAAGGCCUUAGGGUUGUAAAGCUCUUUCAGCUGGGAAGAUAAUGACGGUACCAGCAGAAGAAGCCCCGGCUAACUCCGUG
rnacentral:rRNA from 1 species